GAGUAUGUUGAGUGAGAAGAGACCAAGCCUAGGAGGGAAUUUUGAGAAACACCAGUAUUGAAAGGACUAGAGGAGGAAGAAGAGGCGGCAGAGGAGAAGGUUAGCAGGGAGGCUAUCAGCAGAUGGGGAGCAGGUUAACUUCCACUUUACAGGUGAGGAAAUUGGGUCUCGCAUUCCACAGCUUCUUGCCAGGAUGGGGCAGAAUGGAGCUUCAACCUCUAUCAGAUUUCAAAGCCCUGGCUUUGUUUUAAGCCAAACGAUUGUGGAAGCUGCAGCCUUUCCUCUCCCUCUCCAGAAACCGAGCUGGGAAGUGGGUAAAAACCACCAUGGAACGUGCGCGGACACUCUCCCACGCCCCGCACGCCCACAGGGACGGGAGCAGCAGCGGCCACCCCGCGCGCGCCCGGGUAACUACAGCCCCGCGGCCACCGCCGCCACCGCCCAGCCGGGCCGGGGAGACUCCCAAGGGCUCUUUAAAUACGAUCUAUAAAUACUACGGGCUCUGGGCGCGCGCGUCACCGCAGAGCCGGCCUCCCAUUGGCCGCCGUCCCCUCGCUUAUUUGCAUAGCCGGAUUGCUCAACCGGGCGGCGACCUCGGCCGGGCGCGCCCCUCCCCCC
rnacentral:lncRNA from 1 species